GCACGGAUUUGUGUACCGUGAGCACGGAAGCACACCCGGAUACUACGAUGGAAGGUACUGGACAAUGUGGAAGCUCCCAUUGUUCGGAUGCACUGACUCAGCUCAAGUGUUGAAGGAGGUCGAAGAGUGCAAGAAGGAGUACCCCAACGCCUUCAUUAGGAUCAUCGGAUUCGACAACACCCGUCAAGUCCAAUGCAUCAGUUUCAUCGCCUACAAGCCACCAAGCUUCACCGAGGCUUAAUUUCUUUUCCGGAAUAUUCAAUGUUGGCUAUGGGGAAACCAAUUUUUUUGGUCAAUGUAAAUUCAAAGUAAUUAUCAGCCAACUUAAAAGUUGAGGAAUUGUUUUGCAAAAAUGAAAAAGUUAAAAGGUUUUUUUUUUCUAUCACUUUAUUUUUCGUCUUAGUCAUUUUUACUCUUUUAUAUUCGUUUUAGCUCCUUUUAAUUUCAACAACAGUUUUUUCCUUUAAUUUCUCUUCAUAAUUCUUGAUUUUGAGUCUUGACUCUCUAGACUAACAUCCAACAAAAAGAGAUAUGGACCUUUUUGCUAACUUUAAAAAACAAAUUGCACAUGGCAAUGUAUCAUGGAUAAUUAUUAAGUUUGAUUCAAGUCCAAAAAGUAUAUGGCAACGUAUCAAGCGUGAAUAUUUAAAAUUUGGAAAUUGUUUUACCUUAAAUAGAUAAUUAACUAUUCAAAGCUAUCACAAGGAAAAGUAAUCAAUGUUCCAAAAUAUUCAAGAUUAACGAAUAAAUAUGAAAUUAUUCUUGCUUCUAUAUGAUGAUGAAAGAAUCCAAAUGUUUGUUUUAGGUUUUUUUUCUUCGAGAAAAUACAAAAAAUAAAAUAUCAAUUCUCUGAAAUUCUACACAAUCAAGAUUAAAAAACGGAAAAAAUACAAGAAUUAAGUUGUGUAUUUUUUAAUUUCCAUUUUUCUCCAUUUUAUGUCGUAUUUAUUUCGCAUAAUUUUCUUAUGUCAAACAAAAAGGAUGGAGAAAGAAAAAAAAAAAGCGAACAACAAAGAGUACCUAUGAUCUUACGAAAGAGUAUCUAAGAUCAUGUAACUUGAACGUCAAUUGCGUAAGAGAUCUUGAAAGGACUCAGGAGUUUGAGGUAUGAUAGUUUGAGAUGAGAGAAGUGGGGCACUUUUAUAAAUAACAAAAAGUUUGGAACGAAUUUGUAAUUACCAAAAGUUAUGGGGCGAUUUCAUAAUUACCAAACGUUUUGGGUCAUUUUUUAAUUAAACAAAACUGUGGGGAAAAAUUUGUCAUUAUUUUAAGUUGUGCGGAAAUUUCGUAUUUACUGAAAGUUGUGGGGCAAUUUCGUAUUUACAUAAAGUUGUGAGGCAAUUUCGUAUUUACCGGAAGUUUUUGGGCAAUUUUGUAAUUACCAAAAGUUGUAGGGUAAUUUCAUAAUCACCAAAAGUUGAAGCGUUAUUUUGUAAUUACCAGAAAUUGUGGGGCAAUUCUUAAUUACAGAAAGUUAUGGAAAAUACAGUAAUUUUCCAUGGGCGAUUUCGUAGUUAAGAACAGAUAUGUGGUGCUCUUUUUAGCUGUCAAAACUUGUUUUAUCAUUUCAUAAAUAUCGAUAUAUGGGGGUAUUUUGUAAUUAUAACAAAAUGUAUGGUAAUUUAAAAAGAUGUUUGGCAUUUUGUAAUUACUGGAAUUGUGAGUCAGCUUUAAUUAACAACAUAUAUGGGACUAUUUCAUAAUUACUAGAAUAUCUAAAAGAUUACGCUUACGCUUUCAUUAGACCGGCCAUAAACAAAUCGUGAGAGCCCAAUGAACAUUUGUAUUGAAUUCCAAGUUUUUUACAGCAUAUAUUAUUUGCAAAUAGGCCCCAACAAUAUUUAUUUACAAAUUGGCCCCAUAUUAUUGUUACUUUGGCCUCCAAAUUUUCUGACCGGACCCUGCUUAAAAGAAAUGGAUGCAUGCUUUGUCGUCUAUAUCAAGCCUAAACUUUGUAUGGAGUUGUAUAACAAGACAUCAUUUACGAGAAUGAUUAGGAUCAAGCAAGAGCUAAUCUAUUUGUGAGAAGAAUGAUGAGUUUCGUUUGGUUUAGCCGUUUAGGUGAGAGUGAUACUGUGAUAGUGAAAGAAACUUACUUUCAGAAAUGCCCUAAUUAAACUAUAUUGGGGAAUAGUUGAACCCGCCAAGAGAUGAAACAUAUUCAGAAUAAAUUUGUUUUUUUCCGAAGAAUGUUGUAUGCUUUGCAACAGUAGGAUUUGAACCUUGUGUAGUACUAGCCGUAAGACAUAAUACAUAGUAGCCAACAGUUCAAACCUGAUAACAAAAUAGGAUCUCUACCACGAAUAAGUGCGAAAUUAACGUGAAAUAUGUAAGGAGGAGAUUGUAGACACAAAUCAGAAACUAGUCAUUAUCACAAUUUCAAAAUAGAUUUGCAAAGCCGAGUGUUUACAACAAGUUAUAUAGGUAAUAUAAAUUGUGGAAAAGUUUGGUUCGUCAAACAGAAGUUGACUGCUCAGUUAUGUUCGAUUACGUAUUUACACGUCUAGUUAGAUAAUUUUCUAUAGUACGUAAUAAUUGAUUGUGAACUAAGUCGUCUUGAUCCUGUGGUAAAGGGAGGUAAGUUCUGCCACAUGGGUUCGUGUAGCAUUGGCCAUGGGAGUUCGAAAUUUAGCAUGGUUUUUCCGACUCCAGAAAAUUAGUGUUUGGACCUAAAAACCUUUCGGAAUUACUCCUGAAUUAUAAAAAUAAAAAUAAAUAAUUAUUGAUUGUGAGCUUAUUAGCCGAAUCAAAUUAACCAAAAUUGAAUUAUACAUUACUAUGAUAAUAUAAGUACGUUACUUUAUAUUUAAGGCCAUGCGUUUGGUAUCUCUCUUCCUCAAAAGGAAGAAGCCAAAAGCAACCGGUCAAGUGGAGAUCAGUAGGCAGUAACCAUACACACAACUCACUCGUCUUUCCCCACAAUAGAAAGAUAAGAAAAUGGAGUUUUCUGCCACAUGGCCUUAUCCUAGUGGCCCGUAUCGAUAAGGGUGUCAACACCUUUCCUUAAUUCUGUGGCAGCUAAUGACGGUAUCAUGAAUGAUGGACCCUUUGAUCACUGUAGGGCUUUUUGCCUCUUGUGGUUCGCACUAUAUAAAGAUGAACAAAUCAAUAGGCAGACAAGUAGUAAAGUAAGAGAAAAGAGAAAAAAAGAAGAAGAGAAAAAACAAGAAGAAGUUGUAGUAAUGGCUUCCUCUAUGCUCUCCUCCGCCGCUGUGGUUACCUCCCCGGCUCAAGCCACCAUGGUCGCUCCAUUCACCGGCUUGAAGUCAUCCGCUGCUUUCCCCGUCACCCGCAAGGCCAACAACGACAUUACUUCCAUCGCAAGCAAUGGCGGAAGAGUUAGCUGCAUGAAGGUAAUGUCAUUAAUAAAAAUAGUCUUUUGUAAUGUGCAAUUAGUACAAUUGAACAAAACUGAGAUUAACCGGAAUUGGGAAUUAUAGGUGUGGCCACCAAUUGGAAAGAAGAAGUUUGAGACUCUAUCUUACCUUCCUGACCUUUCCGAUGUCGAAUUGGGAAAGGAAGUUGACUACCUUCUCCGCAACAAGUGGAUUCCCUGUGUCGAAUUCGAGUUGGAGGUAAUUAACUCAUAAGUCUUCCUUGGUCUCUAAGUAUACUUACAUUGCUAGAAACCUAACAAUGUGAAUAGUCCUAUAUCAAUUGUAUUGAAUGGUUUUUUGAUGCGUGUAUAGC
rnacentral:lncRNA from 1 species